GCCCGUGUGGUAUGGUGGCGGUAUUGGAAACAACUGCAACGCUCUCUUAACAGCGUAGGACACCUAAGUCACGCGGGUUU
rnacentral:sRNA from 22 species